rnacentral:rRNA from 1 species
UUGCACGCUGGCGGCAGGCCUAACACGUGCAAGUCGCACGGUAACAGGAAACAGCUUGCUGUUUCGCUGACGAGUGGCGGACGGGUGAGUAAUGUCUGGGAAACUGCCUGAUGGAGGGGGAUAACUACUGGAAACGGUAGCUAAUACCGCAUAACGUCGCAAGACCAAAGAGGGGGACCCUCGGGCCUCUUGCCAUCGGAUGUGCCCAGAUGGGAUUAGCUUGUUGGUGGGGUAACGGCUCACCAAGGCGACGAUCCCUAGCUGGUCUGAGAGGAUGACCAGCCACACUGGAACUGAGACACGGUCCAGACUCCUACGGGAGGCAGCAGUGGGGAAUAUUGCACAAUGGGCGCAAGCCUGAUGCAGCCAUGCCGCGUGUAUGAAGAAGGCCUUCGGGUUGUAAAGUACUUUCAGCGGGGAGGAAGGGAGUAAAGUUAAUACCUUUGCUCAUUGACGUUACCCGCAGAAGAAGCACCGGCUAACUCCGUG